rnacentral:misc_RNA from 1 species
AAGUCGUAACAAGGUUUCCGUAGGUGAACCUGCGGAAGGAUCAUUACAUGAUUAUGAGUGGGCAACUGUGAUGCGUCUGUAUACUUUUUUUACCCUUAUUAUUAUGAUUUCUUAUAUACCAAACAAAACCGAAAACUGCCAGCAAUGGAUCACUCGGUUCUC